UAGUUUGAUGCUGGCUCAGAACGAUCGCUGGCGGCGUGCCUAACACAUGCAAGUCGAACGAGAAAGGAAUCUUCGGACUCCGAGUAGAGUGGCGCACGGGUGAGUAACACGUGGAUAACCUGCCCUAUGAUCUGGGAUAACAUUUCGAAAGAAGUGCUAAUACCGGAUAAGCCUACACAAUCUUCGGAGCGAGUAGGAAAAGAUUUAUCGUCAUAGGAUGGGUCCGCGGUCCAUUAGCUAGUUGGUGGGGUAACGGCCUACCAAGGCCACGAUGGAUAGCUGGUCUGAGAGGAUGAUCAGCCACACUGGAACUGAGACACGGUCCAGACUCCUACGGGAGGCAGCAGUGGGGAAUUUUGCGCAAUGGGGGAAACCCUGACGCAGCAACGCCGCGUGAAGGAAGAAGGCCUUUGGGUCGUAAAGCUCUGUCAACUGGGAAGAAGUUACAAUCAUCCAAUAGGUGGUUGUAUUGACGGUACCAGUGGAGGAAGCGCCGGCUAACUCCGUGCCAGCAGCCGCGGUAACACGGGGGGCGCAAGCGUUAUUCGGAAUUAUUGGGCGUAAAGGGCGCGUAGGCGGUCUUAUCGGUCAGAUGUGAAAGCCCAGGGCUCAACCCUGGACGUGCAUUUGAAACAGUAAGACUUGAGUACGGGAGAGGAGAGCGGAAUUCCUGGUGUAGAGGUGAAAUUCGUAGAUAUCAGGAGGAACACCGAUGGCGAAGGCAGCUCUCUGGACCGAUACUGACGCUGAGGCGCGAAGGCGUGGGUAGCGAAC
rnacentral:rRNA from 1 species